CCGUGCUAAGCGGGGAGGUAGCGGUGCCCUGUACUCGCAAUCCGCUCUAGCAGGCCGAAUUCCUUCUUGAGGUUAGCUCAUCUUAGGGCCUGCCUUAAGUAAGUGGUGUUGACGUUUGGGUCCUACGCAAUGGGAAUCUGUGAACCCUGUCAGGUCCGGAAGGAAGCAGCAGUAAGCAGAACCUCUCAUGUGCCAUGGGGUCGCCUGAACCGAGCUAACUGCUUAAGUAACGCCUGGGGUGGCUAAUCGACAGAAGGUGCACGG
rnacentral:SRP_RNA from 13 species